GUGUUCUCAUUUAUUUAGAAGUUGGAGGAAGGAUGCUUCCUGUUUGAUUGGCUGCUGGAGACCAGCUGGGACAAUAGAGAAAUUCUCUAGACCAUUAGAAUAGAUUUUAUCGUCAAGAGAAGGAGGACAGGGCUUCCCUGGUGGCGCAGUGGUUGAGAAUCUGCCUGCUAAUGCAGGGGACACGGGUUCGAGCCCUGGUCUGGGAGGAUCCCACAUGCCUCGGAGCAACUAGGCCCGUGAGCCACAACUACUGAGCCUGCGCAUCUGGAGCCUGUGCUCUGCAACAAGAGAGGCCGCGAUAGUGAGAGGCCCAUGCACCGCGAUGAAGAGUGGCCCCUGCUUGCCACAACUAGAGUAACCCCUCUCUCAGAAACGAAGACCCAACACAGCAAAAAUAAAUAAAUUAAUAAACUCCUACCCCCAAAAUCUUCAUUAAAAAAAAAAAGGACAAAGUAGCUAAUUAGGGAAACAGGAAACCUCAAACAACGUGUUCUUUUGAGUUUUUACUGUAAAAGCCAGGAAAUUUCAUAUGGCUCAGUGGCAUAAAGGUUAGGCAUUAGGACAAAUAGCCAUGGAGGGGGGAACCUGGCCAGGUGAGGUUACUCCUCCCGAUAAGAGAGAUAAAGACCAUCUUCCCCUGGGAUCUGGUGGUGGUUCUUGAAACCUUCACUUCAGGCUGGGACAGGAAGAACAGCCUGCUGCUGUGAAAUGAUAAGCCAUCGAGGUUUGAAGGUGUGACUAGGAGCUGUGUGCUAAGCCUCUAGCUGACGAAGUUAAUAUCAGCAGGAAGGGACGGGUAAAAGGUGUGGUUUCCUAAAUGAAGAACGCCUUUAAGCAGCUAGGAAGGUCUGGCUCAUAGAAACAGACUUAAAGAAAUGAAUUUCUUUUCACUGGAAGAUUAUAGGUCUUCACGUGAGAGAUGAGUGAUCAAGAAGGGACUUAUUCCAUCCUGAGAUUUCUUCGGUCACCUUCGGAGUCACAAAAUAGAUCAAGGCCUGGUAGUACCCAAAACCCUGGCAAGACUGACGGAAAAGACCAAAAGGCUUGCUGGAUCUUAGUUCCCCGACCAGGGAUGGAACCUGGGCCCCCAGCAGUGGAAACGUGGAGUCCUAACCACUGGACCGCCAGGGAAUUCCCUCAUGAGGAUUUUAAAAGUAAAGGACAGACUAGAGUCUCAAGAAAACAUUGCAGGGGCUUCCUGGGUGGCGCAGUGGUUGAGAAUCCGCCUGCCAAUGCAGGGGACACAGGUUCGAGCCCUGGUCCAGGAGGAUCCCACAUUCCGCAGAGCAACUGGGCGUAUGCGCCACAGCUGCUGGGCCUACGCUCUGGAGCCUGUGAGCCACAAGUCCUGAAGCCUGGGCGCCUGGAGCCCGUGCUCUGCAAAGAGAGAGGCCACCGCAGUGAGAAGCCCGCGCACCGCAAGGAGGAAUGUUUCCCGCUUGCUGCAACUGGAGAGAGCCCGCGCAAUGUUAAUUCUUAAGGGAGGAGACAUUUGGCUCAGGUCACAGAUCUUUUUCAACUUACCCGUGAAUCCCAAGACUCCUGUUGUUAAAAGGAGAAACAGAAGAUUCCAAGAAUCACUAGAGUGGGAAAGCAGGCAAAUGGAACUGAAGACCCUGCCCGGAGAGAAAACAAAGAGGCUGAGGAGACCAGCAGGGGAAAGACUGAGUUACAGGGCUUAGAGGGGGACGUUCCGUAAAUUCAAGACCCUAACUCUUGAAUGUCUUCAAACUUGAAAUCAUAAAUUGAAAGGGAUACUGGACAAUUUGAAACAUCAACGGACUGGGAGUUAGAUGCCAGGGUUCUACUCCCUAUUCUGCUACUAUAUACCUCUGAGGGAAGUCACUUAUUCUAUCUUUACCAAAAUACUCCUCUGAUUCAUCUCCAUGAUUUAUGAAUACAAAGUGAAUACUAGAUAUGAGGACUUGGUUUUUGAGAUGCAAACAUACUUCUAAAUAAAACAUAUCUGGGGCUUCCCUGGUGGCGCAGUGGUUGAGAAUCUGCCUGCCGAUGCAGCGGACACGGGUUCGAGCCCUGGUCUGGGAAGAUCCCACAUGCCGCGGAGCAACUGGGCCCGUGAGCCACAACUACUGAGCCUGCGCGUCUGGAGCCUGUGCUGCGCAACAAGAGAGGCCGCGAUAGUGAGAGGCCCGCGCACCGCUAUGAAGAGUGGCCCCUGCUUACCACAACUAGAGAAAGCUCUCACACAGAAACGAA
rnacentral:tRNA from 1 species